rfam:Klebsiella pneumoniae IS43, WGS project CBWK01000000 data, contig: c115
CAACGGCGGGGAUGCUGAAAGGAUUAGGACUCAGGACGAGGAGUCAGGAAGCGCCAGGAGGCGAAGACCACAGGAUAGUCAGGAUGACGCGCGUCUUGGAGACGUUUUACAGGGAAAAGGAAGAAACAGGGACCGUUGGACGCUAAGGGAAAGACAGGGUGAGUCGUUAGCGAACAGGGAAAGAAGAGCCCGUUAAGGGUGGUCAGUGAGGAAAAAGGCGACAGAGUAAUCUGUCGCCUUUUUUUCUUUGCUUGCUU